rnacentral:rRNA from 1 species
GACGAACGCUGGCGGCGUGCUUAACACAUGCAAGUCGAGCGGUAAGGCCCUUUCGGGGGUACACGAGCGGCGAACGGGUGAGUAACACGUGGGUGACCUGCCUUUAGCUCUGGGAUAAGCCUGGGAAACUGGGUCUAAUACCGGAUAUGACUCCGCGGUGCAUGCUGUGGGGUGGAAAGCCUUGUGCGGCUGGAGAUGGGCCCGCGGCCUAUCAGCUUGUUGGUGGGGNGAUGGCCUACCAAGGCGACGACGGGUAGCCGGCCUGAGAGGGCGACGGCCACACUGGGACUGAGACACGGCCCAGACUCCUACGGGAGGCAGCAGUGGGGAAUCUUGCGCAAUGGGCGAAAGCCUGACGCAGCGACGCCGCGUGAGGGAUGACGGCCUGGUGUAAC